UACGUAGGGUGCAAGCGUUUGUCCGGAAUUAUUGGGCGUAAAGAGCUCGUAGGCGGCUUCGUAAGUCGGAUGUGAAAUCUCACGGCUUAACUGUGAGCGGCCAUUCGAUACUGCGAGGCUAGAGGUCGGUAGGGGGGACAUGGGAAUUCCUGGUGUGAGCGGUGAAAUGCGCAGAUAUCAGGAGGAACACCGGUGGCGAAGGCGGCGAUCUGGGAAGAUACUGACGCUGAGGUGCGAAAAGCGUGGGGGAGCAAACAGG
rnacentral:rRNA from 1 species